rnacentral:rRNA from 1 species
AAAAAAUUUAAAGCUUUUAGGUGAAUACCUAAGGACUCAAAGACGAUGAAGGGCGUUUAAACCUGCGAAAAUCUUUGGUUAAUUGGAAAAAAAUAAAAAUCCAAAGGUUCCCGAAUAGAUUAAUCUAAAAAACUAUUGGAAUAAUUCAUAAACCAAUAAGAGAUAACUCAGUAAACUGAAACAUCUUAGUAACUGAAGGAAAAAAAAGCAAACGCGAUUUUCUUAGUAGUGGCGAACGAAAAGGAAAAAGUCUAAACUGAUGUAUAAUCAGGGUCGGGGGAAAAAAAUUUAUUUUUUUUUUCUUUUUAAUUGAAACAGCUGAAACCUGUACCAGAGAUGGUGAAAGUCCCGUAAAUUAAAAAAAAAAAAAAAGUUUAAUCCCAAGUAGCUUGGUAUACGUGAAAUCCCUUGUGAAUCAACGAGGACCACCUCGUAAGACUAAAUACUCUUGAGUCACUGAUAGUGAAAUAGUACCGCGAGGGAAAGGUGAAAGAGAACCCCUGUAAGGGAGUGAAAAAGAACAUGAAACCUAAAGCUUUCAAUCUGUGGGAGGAUUAAAAAUAUCUAACCGCGUGCCUGUUGAAGAAUGAGCCGGCGACUCAUUAAUACUGGCUCGGUUAAAGAGAAUACUCUGAAGCCUAAGUAAAAACAAGCCUAAAAUGGACACAUAUAUAUAGCUAUAUAUAGCUAUAUAAAGUCAGUAUUAAUGGACCCGAACCCGAGUGAUCUAACCAUGUCCAGGAUGAAACUUAGGUAAAACUAAGCAGAAGUCCGAACCGACCAAUGUUGCAAAAUUGGCGGAUGAGAUGUGGUUAGGGGUGAAAUGCCAAUCGAACUCGGAGCUAGCUGGUUCUCCCCGAAAUACGUUGAGGCGUAGCAAUUUUCAAUGAACUGUUUAGGGGUAAAGCACUGUUUCGAUACGGGCUGUGAAAAUAGUACCAAAUCGUUGCAAACUAAGAAUACUAAACAAUGUAUUACUGAAAAUUAGUCAGACAAUGGGGGAUAAGCUCCAUUGUCAAGAGGGAAACAGCCCAGAUCAUCAGCUAAGGCCCCUAAAUAAUUACUAAGUGUAAAAGGAAGUAUAAAUGCUCAGACAGCCAGAAGGUUUGCUUAGAAGCAGCCAUCCUUGAAAGAAUGCGUAAUAGCUCACUGGUAUAGCGUUUAUGUGCCGAAAAUGUACGGGACUAAGUAAUUUGCCGAAGCUAUGAGAUAAAAAUUAUCGGUAGGGGAGCGUUCUGUUAUGGGUGAAGCAAAUUUGAAAAAAUUUGUGGACAGAACAGAAGUGAGAAUGUCGGCUUAAGUAACGUAAACAUUGGUGAGAAUCCAAUGCUCCUUUAACCUAAGGAUUCCUUCACCAGGUUCGUCCGUGAAGGGUUAGUCAGGUCCUAAGGUUAGGCCGAAAGGCGUCAUCGAUGGAUAACAGGUAAAUAUUCCUGUACUAAUAAUUAUUUGAUAACGAAGGACGAAGUUAAAUAAGUUAAUUGUAAAAUGGUCUACAAUGAAAAUAUUUAAACUAAGAAUAAGAAAAAAAACUUAUUUAUGUUAAAAUAUUAUGCGAUAUUUUAGCUAUAAAAUUUUUAUAGUUGAAAUAUUUAACUAAUAAUAUACUUCCAAGAAAAGCUCGAAUUAUCUAUAAAUAAUUAUUACCUGUACCUCAAACCAACACAGGUAGGUAGGUAGAAUAUACUAAGGAGCGCGAGAUAAUUCUCUCUAAGGAACUCGGCAAAAUAGCCCCAUAACUUCGGAAGAAGGGGUGCCUCUUAUGAGGUUGCAGUGAAAAGGCCCAGGCAACUGUUUAACAAAAACACAGGUCUCCGCAAAGUUGUAAGACAAUAUAUGGGGGCUGACGCCUGCCCAGUGCCGGAAGGUCAAGAUAAUUGGUGAUUAGCUAAUGACUUAAGCCCCGGUGAACGGCGGCCGUAACUCUGACGGUCCUAAGGUAGCGAAAUUCCUUGUCGCGUAAGUUGCGACCCGCACGAAAGGCGUAAUGAUCUGGGCACUGUCUCAGAGAGAAACUCGGUGAAAUAGACAUGUCUGUGAAGAUGCAGACUUCUUACACCUGGACAGAAAGACCCUAUGAAGCUUGACUGUAUCUUGAAAUUGGGUUCCGUUUAUUUUUUUUGUGUAGUAUAAGUGGGAGACAUUUGUCAACAGUGAAAUACCACUCGAUUAUAAUUAGAUCUCUAAAAGUGUACCUUAUAUCAGGACGCUUAACAGUUUCAAGUGGGCAGUUUUUUUGGGGCGAAAACCUCCUAAAAAGUAACGGAGGUUUGCAAAGGUUCCCUCAAACUGGACGGAAAUCAGUUUUAGAGUAUAAAGGCAAAAGGGAGCUUAACUGUAAGACCAAUAUGUCAAACAGAGGCGAAAGCCGGCCUUAGUGAUCCGACGGUUCUGUGUGGAAAGGCCGUCGCGCAAAAAAUAAAAGUUACUCUAGGGAUAACAGGCUAAUCUUCCCCAAGAGUUCAUAUCGACGGGAAGGUUUGGCACCUCGAUGUCGGCUCAUCGCAACCUGGGGCGGUAGUACGUCCCAAGGGUUGGGCUGUUCGCCCAUUAAAGCGGUACGUGAGCUGGGUUCAGAACGUCGUGAGACAGUUUGGUCCAUAUCCGGUGUAAGCGUUAGAAUAUUGAGAGGAUUUUUCCAUAAUACGAGAGGACUUGGAAGAACAUACCACUGGUGUACCAGUUCUUGAACCAACAGGAAAUGCUGGGUAGCUACGUAUGGAGAAGAUAACUGCUGAAAGCAUCUAAGUAGGAAGCUCACCUCAAGAUGAAUAUUCUCUAUAAGAUCAUGGUAAGAUAAACCGUUUGAUAGGUAUCUAGUAUAAGAUCAGUAAUGAUUUCAGCUUAGAUAUACUAAUAGAUCAAUUGUUUUUGACUU